UGGAGUUUCCACCUCUUGUGGAUUUGUGUCUGGCUGCCUGCAGUGAAGUAUGGGAGGAAGAAGCAGAGAGAGCAGGACAGCCCUGGGGAGUGAAGCUGGUGUUCACCUCCAGAUCCACAGCAUGAGAUGUAUUAGUUGAACUAUGACCAUGCCUAUCAAAAAACACUGAAGUCUCCAGAAGAAGGAUGGGUCCUCGAAACUACGAUUCCACCAGAACUAUGGUCAUGCCACUAAGCUGACAAACACUACACAAAGAUUGGCUUUGGACUAUAAACUGCUUGGGGCAAUUUCAA